rnacentral:rRNA from 1 species
GAUGAACGCUGGCGGCGUGCCUAAUACAUGCAAGUCGAGCGAACAGAUGAGGAGCUUGCUCCUCUGACGUUAGCGGCGGACGGGUGAGUAACACGUGGAUAACCUACCUAUAAGACUGGGAUCACUUCGGGAAACCGGAGCUAAUACCGGAUAAUAUAUUGAACCGCAUGGUUCAAUAGUGAAAGACGGUUUUGCUGUCACUUAUAGAUGGAUCCGCGCCGCAUUAGCUAGUUGGUAAGGUAACGGCUUACCAAGGCAACGAUGCGUAGCCGACCUGAGAGGGUGAUCGGCCACACUGGAACUGAGACACGGUCCAGACUCCUACGGGAGGCAGCAGUAGGGAAUCUUCCGCAAUGGGCGAAAGCCUGGCGGAGCAACGCCGCGUGAGUGAUGAAGGUCUUCGGAUCGUAAAACUCUGUUAUUAGGGAAGAACAAAUGUGUAAGUAACUAUGCACGUCUUGACGGUACCUAAUCAGAAAGCCACGGCUAACUACGUG